AGAGUCUAUGCCUGUCGUGGAAGCUGGCCUGGCCCCCGGAGCUUCCUGGAGUCGGUACUGGGGGCUUCGUUUUGUACGCACCGUUUUCUCUCUGUGCUAUGGGAGAUGUCAAGGAAUCAAAGAUGCAAAUAACACCAGAAACUCCAGGAAGGAUCCCUGUUUUAAAUCCUUUUGAAAGUCCUAGUGAUUAUUCUAAUCUCCAUGAACAAACUCUCGCCAGUCCUUCUGUUUUUAAAUCAACAAAAUUACCAAAUAGAUAAAGAUGUGGAAGACAAAAGACAAAAAGCCAUUGAAGAGUUUUUCACUAAAGAUGUCAUCGUACCCUCUCCUUGGACUGAUCAUGAAGGGAAACAGCUUUCACAAUAUCAUUCCAGUAAAUGCACUAACAUAAAUAGUGACUCUCCAGUUGGAAAAAAGCUGACCAUACAUUCUGAGAAAAGCGAUGCUGCUUGUCAGACAUUGCUGUCUCUUCCUGUGGAUUUUAAUUUAGAAAAUAUAUUAGGUGACUAUUUUAGAGCUGAUGAAUUUGCAGAUCAAUCUCCUGGAAACCUCAGUUCUUCAUCCCUC
rnacentral:sRNA from 1 species